GUUUAUCGACACCAACGGAGAAGGAGAUGCUACUGGGGAAAAGCUAAUCACAAACAAACGUCAACGGACGAUUGGGAAAAACUCAACGUUUAUCGAAACCAACGGAGAGGUGAACAGACAUCAACGGAUGACCUGUGAGGGGAAAUACAACAACUAGAUGUCAACGGACAACUAGGAAAAACUCGACGUUUAUCGAAACCAAC
rnacentral:lncRNA from 1 species